CAGCAGCCGCGGUAAUACGGAGGGUGCAAGCGUUAAUCGGAAUUACUGGGCGUAAAGCGCACGCAGGCGGUUUGUUAAGUCAGAUGUGAAAUCCCCGAGCUUAACUUGGGAACUGCAUUUGAAACUGGCAAGCUAGAGUCUUGUAGAGGGGGGUAGAAUUCCAGGUGUAGCGGUGAAAUGCGUAGAGAUCUGGAGGAAUACCGGUGGCGAAGGCGGCCCCCUGGACAAAGACUGACGCUCAGGUGCGAAAGCGUGGGGAGCAAACAGGAUUAGAUACCCCGGUAGUCCCUGUCUCUUAUAC
rnacentral:rRNA from 1 species